UAGGGAAUCUUCCACAAUGGACGAAAGUCUGAUGGAGCAACGCCGCGUGAGUGAAGAAGGGUUUCGGCUCGUAAACUCUGUUGUUAAAGAAGAACAUAUCUGAGAGUAACUGUUCAGGUAUUGACGGUAUUUAACCAGAAAGCCACGGCUAACUACGUGCCAC
rnacentral:rRNA from 1 species